CGCCCUUAGAGUUUGAUCAUGGCUCAGAUUGAACGCUGGCGGCAGGCUUAACACAUGCAAGUCGAGCGGUAGGAGAGCUUGCUCUCUACGAGCGGCGGACGGGUGAGUAAUGUCUGGGAAACUGCCUGAUGGAGGGGGAUAACUACUGGAAACGGUAGCUAAUACCGCAUAACGUCGCAAGACCAAAGAGGUUCGUCUUGCCAUCAGAUGUGCCCAGAUGGGAUUAGCUAGUAGGUGGGGUAACGGCUCACCUAGGCGACGAUCCCUAGCUGGUCUGAGAGGAUGACCAGCCACACUGGAACUGAGACACGGUCCAGACUCCUACGGGAGGCAGCAGUGGGGAAUAUUGCACAAUGGGCGCAAGCCUGAUGCAGCCAUGCCGCGUGUAUGAAGAAGGCCUUCGGGUUGUAAAGUACUUUCGGCGAGGA
rnacentral:rRNA from 1 species